rnacentral:lncRNA from 1 species
UCAUGUACAGGCCUAGUCCACUCAGCCUCGCACUUGGCUGAGUUACUCAGGCUGAUUCCAAGGCCCAAGGAAAGUGGAAUAGCGCUGCUUAGUAUUAACCAUGAAUGUUUGUCACACACACAUGCACAUGGCUAUUGUGUAAAUGCUCACACAUGAACCCAUUCAUUUCUUUAACAUUGGGAAAUUUUGGUAGUUUACUCAUGAAUAUCAUUUUUAAUAGAUUUUUCACAUUACACAGCAUAGAAGCUUAUGGACAAAUGAGGCAUGUGAUGUUUUUUUCUUUUUUUCUUUUCUACAUACUUGCUGAACAUCUAUGGGGAUAAAAAUAUUUUAAGAUCCUUAACUAACUCUAUUUUUUUUUUCCUGUUUUUCUUUUUUAUGAUGAGUGUGUGAAAAAAGCAUAAACCAAUUUAGAAAGGUAUUCCCUUUAAUGAAAUACUUGUUGUAAACCUGAGACCCGCCAUGAAUGAUGAGGUUAGGUGCAUUGCCCGAAAAUGCUGAUAACAAAGAUGGCAGGGUUCAAGGAGGUAGGACAUGAAACCUUGUGAGAUCGGGGCUUUUUUCUAGAACUUGAGAAGAGCUUGAGGAAAUUGGGAUCUGAUUUGGUAACAGAUGGAGAACCUAUGCUUGGAUGGUUUCUGACCUUUGCAUAUGUAUAUCAUCUAUAGUCCACUUUGCCUGGUACUUGUUCGAGUUACUUUCUCAGGCAAGAGCCGAGUCUAAGGCCCAAGCAAAGUUUUAUAACAUCGCUUAGUAUUAACCAUGAAUGUCUGUCACACAUGAACCCAUUCAUUUCUUUAACAUUGGGAAACUGUGGUAGUUUCCUCAUGAAUACUAUUUUUAAUAGAUUUUUCACAUAAUACAACAUCUAAGCUUACGGACAAAUGAGGCAUGUGAUGAACUUUUUUGUUUUUUUAACGAACUUGUUAAACAUCUAUGGGGACGAAAAUAUUUUAAGAUCCUUAACUAACUCUAUUUUGUUUUUUCCUCUUUUUUUUUUCGGGUCCAAGUGUUUGAAAAAAGUAUAAACCCAUUUAGAAAGAUAUUUGUUGUAAACCUUAGACCCUCCUUGAACAAUUAGGUUUGAUGCAUUGGCCGAACACUGGUGAUUAUAGAGACGGUAGAGGUCAAGGAGGUAGGACAUGAAACCUUGUGAGAUCGAAGCGUUUUUUUUAGCUUUAGAGAAGAACUCGAGGGACUUUGGGAUCUAAUUUGCUAACAAAUGGAGUGCCUACUCUUGGAUGGUUUUUAACCUUUGCAUCUUUAUGUUUUCUCACCACAAUCUUCUUUAUAUCUGUGCUAUUAUAGGUUUUCCUCAUUGUUUUUGUUUGUUAUCUCUUCCAUUUUUUUUAUUAUAAUUGAUUUUGCACUAUGAAGCUCAUCAUAUUUUGUUAUGCUUUUAUGAUUCAGCUGAUUUUAUCUGUUCUUGUCAUGUGUUUUGUAUAUUGGGUUUAAAAUUUCUUCAGAAUGUCCUAGGAGAAAUUCUCAACAAUUUAAGCUCUAAACUCUUAGACUAUAGGACUGAAUCUACAGUUUACAAGAAAAAGAUUUAGUAUGAUCCAUAAAACUUUCUUCCUAGAGAAUGUUUUAUUUUCUCUCGAUGACCCAAUUUUUUGCGUCUAACCAUUUUCUAUCUCUUCUGGGUUGGAUGCCUUAAUUGUGUUUUUCUUUUACUCCACAUCUCUCCCCUCUAUUUGAGGCUGCCUCCAUUUUGCCUUAAUUGCGUUCUGGGUUGGAUGCCUUAAUUGCGUUCUAGGUUGGAUGCCUUAAAACUUUCUGUCUUUUAUCGCCCUAAGGUCGUUGGCAUAGAACCUUGAUAGAUUGGUAUCGAUGGAUGCCUUAAUUCUAUUUUUCUCUAUUCUUCUUUUUUCUUGUUAUUUUUACCAUUGAUAGAAGUGAUAUUGAUGGAUAAAAUGAAAGUAGAUGUUGUUGGUAAUAGUAAUGGUUUGACCUGGACACAUCGUUUAGAGUUACUUU